CUUCCGUAGGUGAACCUGCGGAAGGAUCAUAGUAAUCGUCUUUGACGUUUCUGUUCCGUCGUCCUCGGGACGUUAAGGCGCUCUGGUCGAGGAUAAACGACCCCUCUGACCGAGGUAAAGCGGUCGCUGUGUUACCUCUUGUCGAGGCACACGUUAAAGAUCGUUCCGCGUUGUGAGUCUAACAACUUGUAAACUUUUACAACCGGCAGCGCUGGAUCCCUUGGCACGUCAUUCGAUGAAGACCGUUGCAAAUUGCGAUAAAGUGAUGUGAUGCGCAAGUCCACCACUUAUACGUGAAUCAUCGAGUUGUUGAACGCAUUGCACCGCGCCCUAAUCCGGCUGCGGUAUGCCCCUUUGAGCGUCAUUUAUUCCUUCGGGAGUCUUUCCUUGCGGAAGACCCGAGUUCGGAGUCCUCGGUCUUUGGAUCGUGUUCUCUCAGAUGCGUCGCGCCGAUCGCCUGAUGGGUACUCUAAUGCCUGAGCGUGGAGUCCCUCUGGAGUUGAGACGUGCUUGACCGGCCGUUGGGCUCGUGUCACCAAGUCCGCGUCCUUUGGGACGGCGGUACUACAACGCAUGACCUCAUUGGGGUAGGACAACCCGCUAGACUUAAGCAUAUUAAUCAGCGG
rnacentral:rRNA from 1 species